GAUGGAACAAUGUAGGCAAGGGAAGUUGGCAAAAUUGAUCCGUAACUUUGGGAAAAGGAUUGCCUCUGAGGGAUGUGCACCGGGGUCCAAGUCCCGAACCCGUCGGUUGUCGGUGGACUACUCGAGCUGCUCCCAUGGUGAGAGCGUGUCGCCGCGUGCCGGACGGGGGAAGGACUGGGAGCGGUUCCUUCAAGGGCCUUCCUCGGGCGUCGAACAACCAACUCAGAACUGGUACGGACAAGGGGAAUCGAACUGUUUAAUUUAAACAAAGCAUUGCAAUUGUCCCAACGGAUGUUUACGCAAUGUGAUUUCUGCACAGUGCUCUGAAUGUCAAAGCUAAGAAAUUCAACCAAGCGCGGGUAAACGGCGGGAGUAACUAUGACUCUCUUAAGGUAUCCAAAUGCCUCGUAAUCUAAUUAGUGACGUGCAUGAAUGGAUUAACGAGAUUCCCACUGUCCCUGUCUACUAUCCAGCGAAACCACAGCCAAGGAAACAGGCUUGGCAGAAUCAGCGGGGAAAGAAGACCCUGUUGAGCUUGACUCUAGUCUGACUUUAUCAAAUGACUUGAGAGGUGUAAUAUAAGUGGGAGUCGAAAGGCGAAAGUGAAAUACCACUACUUUUAACGUUACUUUACUUAUUCCGUGAAUUGGAAGUGGGGCACUGCCCCUCUUUUUGGACCAAAGGCUCGCUUCGCGGGCCAAUUCAGGAGGAAGACAUUGUCAGGUGGGGAGUUUUGAUUGGGCGGCACAUCUUUUAAAAGAUAACGCAGGUGUCCUAAGAUGAGCUCAACAAGAAUAGAAAUCUCGUGUGGUAAAGAAGGGUAAAAUCUCGUUUGAUUCUGAUUUCCAUUACGAAUACGAACCAUGAAAGCAUGGCCUAACAAUCCUUUAGACCUUCGGAAUUCAAAGCUAGAAGUGUUUGAAAAGUUACCACUGGGAUAACUGUCUUGUGGCAGCAAAGCGUGAAUAGCGACAUUGCUUUUUGAUCCUUUGAUGUCGGCUCUUCCUAUCAUUGUGAAGCAGAAUUCACCAAGUGUUGGAUUGUUCACUCACCAAUAGGGAACGUGAGCUGGGUUUAGAUCGUCGUGAGACAUGUGAGUUUUACCCUACUAAUGACAGUGUCGUAAUAGUAAUUCAAUCAAGUAUGAGAGGAACCGUUGAUUCACACAAUUGGCCAUCGCGCUUGGUUGAAAAUCCAGUGGUACGAAGCUACCGUGUGAGGGAUUAUGACUGAACGCCUCUAAGUCAGAAUCCAGGCUAGAAGCGACGCAUGAUCCCGCCGUCCGCUUGCCGAACCGCAGUAGGGUCCUAUGUCCCCCAAGGGAACGAAUCAUUGGCUAAGUCGCUGCGACGGAAGCAUCGCGGUGACCGCCUUGAAGUAUAAUUUCCAUUGAGCGGCGGGUAGAAUCUUUUGUAGACGACUUAAAUACACGACAGGGUUUAUUAAGUGGCAGAGUGGCCUUGCUGCCACGAUCCACUGAGAUUCAGCCCUUUGUCGCUCCGAUUC
rnacentral:ncRNA from 1 species